CACAGUAAGCACAUCUUCUUCCACCUUUUCUUUAAUUGAUUUACCAUUCAAUUUCUUCAAAUUAAAUCUUGAGCACACUGACCCACCGCCACCACAAGCAUCUCGCCGGCAUCCUCUCUCCUCACCAACAUCGCACCCACUUCCAUGUGAAUCUCGGUCCUCCAUUGCGUCUUCUCCCUCAAAUUGAAACUCCAAAUCACAAGGGAAUCGGCCGCACCGGGGGAGC
rnacentral:lncRNA from 1 species